rnacentral:misc_RNA from 1 species
GAACUGCGAUAAGUAAUGUGAAUUGCAGAAUUCAGUGAAUCAUCGAGUCUUUGAACGCACAUUGCGCCCCCUGGCAUUCCGGGGGGCAUGCCUGUCCGAGCGUCAUUGCUGCCCUUCAAGCCCGGCUUGUGUGUUGGUUCGUCGUCCCCUCCGGGGGACGGGCCCGAAAGGCAGCGGCGGCACUGCGUCCGGUCCUCGAGCGUAUGGGGCUUUGUCACCCGCUCGAUAAGGACCGGCCGGGCGCCAGCCGGCGUCUCCAACCUUUUUUUCUCAGGUUGACCUCGGAUCAGGUAGGGAUACCCGCUGAACUUAAGC